CCUGCCCCUAGAAAUGUUGUAGGUGUAGCUGCUGUGUCACAUGUGCACCAGUAGGUGGCAGAGAGGAGAGCGGCUAUGUCUAUACUGACUCUUCUGACCCGUGAACAUCUGAAUGUCUAGAAGCCUAACAUU